UUGAACUUAUACAUGGUAUAAAGUAUGUUUAAGGAUACAGUCAAAGUAACUUAUUAAUGUAGCCUCUUGAAAGUCUCUUUCAGAAAGUAAAUUAUCUGAAAAAUAAAAGUUAUUUGGCAUUAAUGGAAUUACAAUGAUUUGAUUGCCUAAACAUUGCACAUGCAAAAUAUUAAAUACUGUUUUGCAUUAAAAGUUUAGCAGAAGUGUUUGUUUGAUUAACUUCCUUUGCUUUUGUUUUGUACAAAGGAAAAGCAGAACCUCAUCCAAAUAAAAAUAAACAAGCUGUUAAAGGCACUGUGUCCUACACAGACCCUCCAAAAUAUAACCACCCAAAACCCAAGUCAGUUGAAGGUCAACACAAACCAAAUAAAGAUGUGCAUUCUACAAACAAUAAAAAAAGAUCAAGUUUUGUGUCCACCACACUUAGAUGUGGCGUGCCCGACCCCUGACUUUGUCUACCCUACAUUAAGUUGCACACUUCAUGACAGUAAACAUCGGUAUCACAAUGGUGUGAUUGAUCUAUACCCUAGAAUAAGCUGUGACACUAUGAGACGUGAGGUAACACAACGAAAAAAUUACCGGAUGGAGACGGCCUGAUUCUUCACCUAUGGCCUCAGCUUCAAAUGCAACAUGUCCAGCAACUGUCUGAGUUGGUGGAUAUUCUGUCAGAGACUGCGUGAACAACGUUAUGAACAGAAUGAUGUCAAAUUGUCUUAUGGCAAAGUUCAAUAUGAGCGGUGGUGGACAUCUGGAAAAGAAGUCUUUUAAAGGCACACCUUUGUAUUAUGUUAUUCAAGAUGCUGUGAAGAGGUGGAGCCCAAAUGCCACAGACUCGGAAAUAGAUGCAGCUAUGGCAGAUCACCUCAAGCACGCUCCAGGAACAGCUGGGGGUGGUGGAUACAAGAAAGCCAAACAGCUG